AGUCGAGCGCCCAGCAAUGGGAGCGGCAGACGGGUGAGUAACGCGUGGGGAUCUACCCAUUGGUACGGAAUAACCCAGGGAAACUUGGACUAAUACCGUAUGUGCCCUUCGGGGGAAAGAUUUAUCGCCAAUGGAUGAACCCGCGUCGGAUUAGCUAGUUGGUGAGGUAAAGGCUCACCAAGGCGACGAUCCGUAGCUGGUCUGAGAGGAUGAUCAGCCACACUGGGACUGAGACACGGCCCAGACUCCUACGGGAGGCAGCAGUGGGGAAUAUUGGACAAUGGGCGCAAGCCUGAUCCAGCCAUGCCGCGUGAGUGAUGAAGGCCUUAGGGUUGUAAAGCUCUUUCGCCGGUGAAGAUAAUGACGGUAACCGGAGAAGAAGCCCCGGCUAACUUCGUGCCAGCAGCCGCGGUAAUACGAAGGGGGCUAGCGUUGCUCGGAAUCACUGGGCGUAAAGCGCACGUAGGCGGAUCGUUAAGUCAGGGGUGAAAUCCUGGGGCUCAACCUCAGAACUGCCCUUGAUACUGGCGAUCUCGAGUUCGAGAGAGGUUGGUGGAACUCCGAGUGUAGAGGUGAAAUUCGUAGAUAUUCGGAAGAACACCAGUGGCGAAGGCGGCCAACUGGCUCGAUACUGACGCUGAGGUGCGA
rnacentral:rRNA from 1 species